AUAGUUAAAUCAUGUUAGUCUUAUUCACAAUCUUCUUAUCGUUUCAUGUGGACAUGAGAUAUUAUUUGUGUCAAGUUGACAAGGGGUGGAUUGUAGUGGCUAUUCCUGGUUGUCAACUUGACUAUAUCUGGAAGGAACUACAGUCUAGAAUUGGAAGGCUUACCUAUGAUCCUAAUUUGAAGGCUCAGAGACAUAAGUUUCUGACCUGGAUCUUGGUAUGGAGAUCUUGAAGUAUAGUAGCUAAGACAAGGAGAUCUUCGAGUUCAAGAUCAUUUGGGAUUAAGGCAUGGAUGCACACACCUUUAUUCUGGGACACACCCUCUGCUGGAGACCCCCAUGCCAAUAAUAUGGGCUACACCCUCUGUUGGAGACCUACAGCCUUUAAUCUGGGCUACACCAUCUACUGGAGAUAUAUAAGGACACUGGAAGAAGGAAGAUUCUCUCUCACUCUUCCUUGCCUGCUUGCCUCGUGGGACUGAGCAACUGCUAGAUCCUUGGACUUCCAUCCACAGCUGCUGCUGACCAUUGUUGGGGAGUUGGACUAUAGACUAGGCAGUACCUUUUGAUGAUGCUCAUGUGAACUUCACUGAGGAAGAGAGUGGAAUUUGCUGGAUCUUUCCCAGAAGAAACUCUACAAAGGUGUGAUGUUGGAAACUUACUUGAACCUCAAAGCUGUAGGCUAUAAUUGGGAAGACCAUAAUCUUGAAGAACAUUGUCAAAGUAGAAGAAGACCUGAAAGGCAUGUAAGAAGUCAUAAUGGAGAGAAAAUCUAUGAGUGCAAUCAAUGUGGUAAAGCCUUUGCAAGACCCAGUCAACUCCAAAGACAUAGAGUCACAUAUUCUUGAAAGUGUUCUUCAGUUCAGGAAUUGCCUUUGGGAAAUAAUUGGUUCACUUAUGCAUAAGAGCAUAUCAUCUUCAAAUAAAUGUAAUUUUACAUACUC